GUUCUGUAAGCCUGUGAAGGUGUGCUGUGAGGCAUGCUGGAGGUAUCAGAAGUGCGAAUGCUGACAUAAGUAACGAUAAAGCGGGUGAAAAGCCCGCUCGCCGGAAGACCAAGGGUUCCUGUCCAACGUUAAUCGGGGCAGGGUGAGUCGACCCCUAAGGCGAGGCCGAAAGGCGUAGUCGAUGGGAAACAGGUUAAUAUUCCUGUACUUGGUGUUACUGCGAAGGGGGGACGGAGAAGGCUAUGUUGGCCGGGCGACGGUUGUCCCGGUUUAAGCGUGUAGGCU
rnacentral:rRNA from 1 species